rnacentral:rRNA from 1 species
UACGUAGGGAGCAAGCGUUGUCCGGAAUCAUUGGGCGUAAAGCGCGCGUAGGUGGCUUCGUAAGUCCGUUGUGAAAGUCAAGGGCUCAACCUUUGAAAGCCGAUGGAUACUGCGGAGCUAGAGUACGGAAGAGGCGAGUGGAAUUCCUGGUGUAGCGGUGGAAUGCGCAGAUAUCAGGAGGAACACCAAUAGCGAAGGCAGCUCGCUGGGACGUUACUGACACUGAGGCGCGAAAGCGUGGGGAGCGAACAGG